GAGGAAUGUAUAGCAAUAGCUUGCAUCAUUGUAGAAAUUGCAAGAUCAUGUCAGGUAGAAUUAUGAUAAUGACAUUGUCUGCCUAUGUGUCUUGACCAAAUUACGUGCCAGCAGUCGCGGUAAUACGUAGAAGAAGUGUUAUUCAUGUUUAAUCGGUUUAAAGGGUACCUAGACGGUAAAUCAAGCCUAAACUUAUAUGAAGGGACUAAUUUACUAGAGUUACUUAUGAGGGGGUAUUAAAGUACUGCUGGUGUAGAGAUGAAAUUCUGUCAUACCUCUUUUCAAUAGAAAAAUAAUGGCACAGGUAUAGGCGAAAGCAUCCCCUUAUGUGAUAACUGACGUUGAGGGACGAAGGCUUUGUGUAGCGAACAGGAUUAGAUACCCCAGUAGUCAAAGCAGAAAAUGAUGAAUGUCAUAGAUUAGAUAUAUAAGUUUAUUCUAUAAAUGAAAGUGUAAGCAUUCCACCUCAAGAGUAAUUUGGCAACAUUGGAACUGAAAUCAUUAGACCGUUUCUGAAACCAG
rnacentral:rRNA from 1 species